UACGGAGGGGACUAGCGUUGUUCGGAAUUACUGGGCGUAAAGCGCACGUAGGCGGAUUUGUAAGUCAGGGGUGAAAUCCCGGGGCUCAACCUCGGAACUGCCUUUAAUACUGCCAAUCUAGAGUCCGAGAGAGGUGAGUGGAAUUCCGAGUGUAGAGGCGAAAUUCGUAGAUAUUCGGAGGAACACCAGUGGCGAAGGCGGCUCACUGGCUCGGUACUGACGCUGAGGUGCGAAAGCGUGGGGAGCAAACAGG
rnacentral:rRNA from 1 species